UACGUAGGCAGCGAGCGUUGUUCGGAGUUACUGGGCGUAAAGGGUGUGUAGGCGGUUGUUUAAGUUUGGUGUGAAAUCUCCCGGCUCAACUGGGAGGGUGCGCCGAAUACUGAAUGACUUGGAGUGCGGGAGAGGAAAGUGGAAUUCCUGGUGUAGCGGUGAAAUGCGUAGAUAUCAGGAGGAACACCGGUGGUGUAGACGGCUUUCUGGACCGUAACUGACGCUGAGACACGAAAGCCAGGGGAGCAAACGGG
rnacentral:rRNA from 1 species